AAGGUACUCCCUCCGUCCGGAAUUACUUGUCAUCAAAAUGGAUGAAAAUGGAUGUAUUUAGAACUAAAAUACAUCUAUUUCAAUAACAAGUAUUUCCGGACGAAGGGAGUAUUUG
rfam:Triticum aestivum genome assembly, contig: Triticum_aestivum_CS42_TGACv1_scaffold_392521_5AS